rnacentral:rRNA from 1 species
CAUGGUUUUUUGUUUAUAUAAAAAAUCUGGCCUGCUCAGUGAAUUUUAAAUAGCUGCAGUAUUUUGACUGUACAAAGGUAGCAUAAUCAUUUGUCUUUUAAUUGAGGUCUGGAAUGAAUGGUUUGAUGAAAAAUAUACUUUAUUUAUUUUUAAUAAAAAAUUUAAUUUUUGAGUUAAAAAGCUUUGAAAUUUUUUUAUAGGACGAGAAGACCCUAUAGAACUUUAUUUAUAUAUUUUUAUAUUUUUUCUAGAUUAUAUAUUUUUAAUAAAAAUAUAUAAAUUUUGUUGGGGUGACAAAAAAAAUAAAAUAACUUUUUUUUAUUUUUACAUUUAUUUAUGUAUAUUUGAUCCUUUACUUUGGAAAAAAGAAUAAGUUACCUUAGGGAUAACAGCGUUAUUAUUUUGGAGAGUUCAUAUCGAUGAAAUAGUUUGCGACCUCGAUGUUGGAUUAAAAUAAGAUAUAGAAGUAGAAUGUUAUAUUCUUGGUCUGUUCGACCUUUAAAUUUUUACAUGAUCU